rnacentral:rRNA from 1 species
UAGGGAAUCUUCCGCAAUGGGCGAAAGCCUGACGGAGCAACGCCGCGUGAGUGAUGAAGGUCUUCGGAUCGUAAAACUCUGUUAUUAGGGAAGAACAAAUGUGUAAGUAACUAUGCACGUCUUGACGGUACCUAAUCAGAAAGCCACGGCUAACUACGUGCCAGCAGCCGCGGUAAUACGUAGGUGGCAAGCGUUAUCCGGAAUUAUUGGUCGUAAAGCGCGCGUAGGCGGUUUUUUAAGUCUGAUGUGAAAGCCCACGGCUCAACCGUGGAGGGUCAUUGGAAACUGGAAAACUUGAGUGCAGAAGGGGAAAGUGGAAUUCCAUGUGUAGCGGUGAAAUGCGCAGAGAUAUGGAGGAACACCAGUGGCGAAGGCGACUUUCUGGUCUGUAACUGACGCUGAUGUGCGAAAGCGUGGGGAUCAAACAGG